rnacentral:rRNA from 1 species
AGGAUGAACGCUGGCGGCGUGCCUAAUACAUGCAAGUCGAGCGGUAAGGCCCCUUCGGGGGUACACGAGCGGCGGACGGCUGAGUAACACGUAGGAACGUACCCCAAAGUGAGGGAUAAGCACCAGAAAUGGUGUCUAAUACCGCAUGUGCUCUUCGGAGGAAAGCUUCGGCGCUUUGGGAACGGCCUGCGCAUGAUUAGCUUGUUGGUGAGGUAAUGGCUCACCAAGGCGACGAUCAUUAGCUGGUCUGAGAGGAUGAUCAGCCAGACUGGGACUGAGAACGGCCCAGACUCCUACGGGAGGCAGCAGUAGGGAAUUUUCCACAAUGGGCGAAAGCCUGAUGGAGCAACGCCGCGUGCAGGAUGAAUGCCUUAGGGUUGUAAACUGCUUUUAUAUGUGACGAUUAUGACGGUAGCAUAUGAAUAAGGAUCGGCUAACUCCGUGCCAGCAGCCGC